rnacentral:piRNA from 1 species
CUGGGACACAUGCAGACAGAAUACUUUAU